AAAAACCUUUCUAUAUGACAAAAAAUUAGCCUAAAAAUACCUAGACCCUAGAACCCUAAGGAUCAUCCGCCGUUUCUAUCACAAGACCCCCCUCCCCCACCCCAGCCAAACUUCAUCUUUUUUUUCAUGAAAAACCAAAAAAAAAAACCUAGACUCCAUUGAAGCUCCCAGCCGCACCUCUGCAAAACGACCCCUCAUCUUAUCUUCUUCACAACCAGACUUAACCCUAGCUACCAAACCCCUACUACCAUCUCCACUCAACACAUAACACCAGCAACCCCCUUCAACAACCUUCACGCCAAGAACUCGACACAACCACACACACGCACAGAAAUGCAAAGACAUUCACACACACAGAGAUCAACAAAAAUCAGUCCAAAAUCAGUAGUGGAACAACCCCGUUUCUUACCUCAAAACACCCUCAUUCCAGCUCCAAAACCUCACAUUUUUUGCACGCGAAAUCAGCCCCAAACAAUCCCGAAUCAUCUCUAAAACGCAACUGAAGUCCUGUCUGAAACAACUCUCGUUCGCAGCUGAAAUCUGCUGAAACAGUGCCCAAAACGCCACAAAAGAUUCGAGUCGAGUUGACGAGCUGUCCGUUUGCAAAUCCGAGGUUCCGUUCGAGGUGCGGUCUUUUGGUUUUGUUCGAAUUUGAUCGUUGUUAGCUGCGCAAUUCCAUCUAUCGUAGUUGCUGGAAUAUUUGGACAUUUGAAAACUUCUUGAGCUAGGUUGUUUUGAGCCAUGGAAUUGCUAUGUUGUCACUAGUUUUGCUGAUUUCGCGUAGCUAAGCUUACAAAUUCUUCUUCACCUUUAUUUGGUCCAAUUCUUGCUUGUUUUGCUUUUGUCCGAGGUAUGUUUGCAGUUUAAAUGAAUACUGCUGGAUAUUAUAUUGCUAUGAAAUCUGCAUAUAUGUAUUCAUAUCAAUACUCUGUCAAGGGGUUUUAUCUGUUAAACAUGUAGUUUGCAAAUUGGUGUUAUGUUCUUGAAUAUUCUUGUGUUUUAUUUGAGAAUUUCUAAUGAUUACCCUUUUCAAAAAUUAAAGAAAGAGCGUGAAUGCUCGCAGCAGUAACAUUUUCGUCACCUUCCUAUAGUUGUUUUAGAAGAUAAGGGAUCAAUUCUUUCCACUUCUUGUGACCAAUUCACAAUGUAUUUAUAUCCAAAAUGAGCAAAGCCCAACCUGAUAUUGCUGCAGCAAUCACGUACAGAAGAAUGAAUGUGCAUAUAACCUAUUUGGUGAAAGGCACUAUUGUUUAUUCUUCACAUGUAUUUGGCUAAUUUCACAAUGCAAAAUUUUGCUUAAUUUGAGUUUAGUAGCAGAACAAGUCCAAAUUUAUAAAACAUUUAGUACUUGGAAUGGAACUUUUGGCUCUCAUGCUUGAUUCCAAACAUAGGAAAAUUAAGCAAUGUUUGAACGUUGUAGUUUGCUUUAGGCACGUCUAAUAUACCAUCGUGGUUGUGUACACGUUCACAUGACAUAUUUACGAUUCUAAAAAUAAAACCGGAGUAUGCGUUCGCGCAACUUUGACCAAACUUUCUUAAUAAUAAUAAAGCGUUACUAAUUAUGGACAUGUUCGCGUGACAUGAUUUUUGACGCGCCAAACAAAUGGGUACACGUGCACGUGACCUGUUUUAAGAUACUUUCUUAAAUUAAAGAGGUGAAAGCACAUAGGUUUUAAAAAUGAGUAAGUAGACAAUUUGAUUAAGCGAAGUAUGAUCAAAGCGACCGUGCAAGAACCACGGAACUCGGGAAUGCCUAACACCUUCUCCUGAGUUAAUAGAAUUCCUUACCCAGAUUUCUGUGUUCGCAGACCGUAAAUAAGAGUCAAACCGGUGAAUUGGGACACCAUAAAUUAUCCCAUGUGGCAAAUCUCAAUUUAAUAAAUAAUCCCGUUUCGAUUGUCACUUAAAUUAGAAAAAACUCCCUUAUAUCCCUUUCGGGGGUAGUAAAAAGGAGGUGUGAUAGAUACCCUCCAGGAAAAGAUGGCCUUAGUCGGGCGUCAGCUUCAAGAUGCGAGGGAGGAUAGUGACAAAUAUAGAGGUCUCCACUCUGAGUUAGUUGUUGCACUAUCUGGGAUCAAAACCGAAGCUGGGGCGCUUAUAUCUGUGCAGAAAGAGGGUGUUGUUGUAAUAGAUGCUCAAAUAGGGAGAGCGCCCGAGGAGGCCGAACUGAAGUUGAUUCGAGCCGUGGAGCAUGCUCGCUUAGAAUCUUGGAGGCGAACUCUUUAGGAUAUACAUGCGGGAGAUAUCAAUCUGUUUGCCGAGCUCGAGAUGGUCAAGACCAUAGAGAAGAAAGUUGUUGCCCUGUUCGCUUCAGGAGGUGUGACGGGUAGUGGCUUAGGAGAUGAUGAGGAUGAAGGCGGGAUCCCCCGAGGAGAAGAGGCCAUCGAAUGUCCUAGGACUGUAGCCGAAACCAUUGGGACACAACCUCCGGUGGAGCCGUCAAAGAUGCAGGCUUGAUGAUAGAUUAGGGUUCUAUUUGGACCCUUCGUUGUAAGGAUAUUUCAAAAGCCUUGUAAACGUACCUCUACAAGCCAUAUGUAUAAUAGGCUUUUCGUUUUUUAUCAUUUCUUUUCUCCUUUGCCUUUUGAGAAUAAAAUGUGAUACUUUUGAUAAUCGAUUCGAGAUCUUAGACCUUGGGUUUCACCCUCGGGUUUUUGCUAUUGCUGAGCGGCCCGUAAUGGUCGAACGUUGGUCCCCGAGUGUUCUCGGAUUAGACUUGGCUUUUUUACGUUGGGUCACCAUGACCUUCAAUUUUAGCGCUGGCGACAGUGUCUCUUACACAUUUGGUCGAUGCGACCUUCAAUUUUAGUGCUAGCGACAGUGGCUCUUACGCUUUUGCUCUUGGGCAUGUUUAGUUAACUGUUUUGGGUUUAGUCUCCGAAUCGGGUUUUGACUCGAGCUCAUUCGACCCUCAAGUUUUUGAAUUUAAUGCUGGCCCUUAGGCUCUUACACUUAGGUCAGUAUGACCUUUUGUAUGUGCUGGCGAUAGAGGCUCUUACGCGUUGGGUCGGUGCGACCUUUUAUAAGCUUUAUUUUUCCCUCGUUAAGGACUUUUUGAAAUAAUGUUUUCCUGACUCUUCGACGGUUCGAUAAAAACCUCGAUUGUCAGUCAUUAUAUGGCGAUGAUUGAGAACCUCGAGAGGUUUGGCUCGGUGGCUGAGCAUCUCGAAGCCUAUGUUUAGGAGCUGACAUAGUCGAAGCUCUUUUGCCUAUGUCGAGGGUAGCCUGUUUAACCGGUUCUUUUCGAAGUAUAUUUGAAGUAAUUGAAGGCCUGUGAUUUUAUAGCGAUGGUCGGGCAUCCCCGAGUCGCGUUAGUUUGGCUAGUACAGCCUUGUGACCGUAGUAAUUUAUGUUUGGCCGGAGCCCGGAGCCUUUCAGUCCCGAGUGAAGUAGUUUCGGUGUCAAUAUCGAGGGUAUGCCCUUUUAGGGGUCUUACAAAUUUGAUAUAUAGCCUUAACUUUGAGAUCGGAUUUAUGCCUUUAGUAAGGUCUUACAAGUUUUACAUGCCUUUAAGGUCUUAUAGUUUUGGAUACUUGGUACAAGUAUGGUUCAUGCCUUGCUUGAGGUUUUACAGAUAUUGCCACUUGGUACAAGUGUGGUUCAUGCCUUGCUUGAGGUCUUACAGAUAUUGUUGUUGCCUUAUAUAGGUGUUACGAGACCGAGGCUGCCCGCAUGUGGUCUUAUGGCCUCGGGUUUUGAUAAGUUGAUGGAGAUGGCGAUUGACGGCAGUCCCCGAAUCAUCGGGGAUUUCUUGGCUUAGGAGCCAUCACUUGUAAACUUGUUAUUGCCUCAUUGAGGGCUUACGAUUUCAGAGUUUCCGACCCGGAGGUCAUGUGGCCUUGAGUUUUCAACACCAGUCCCUGAGUGUUCGGGACGUUUUUGGAUCUGGAGUUAUUUUGUGAUCUCGUUGUUGCCUCAUUGAGGGCUUACGAGUUUGAAGCUUCGACCCGAGGGUCGUACUGUUUCGAGUUGUUAACGCCAAUCCCCGAGUAUUCGGGACGUUUUUUUGGCUCUGGGCCAUUUUUUUGCAAAAAAUGUUGAGCUUCCUUGAAACGCAAAAUUCUUUUGGGAAGUAUUAUUUUGAUUACUUGGUACAAGUAUACAUUCUUUUGACCCGGUAUAUUAUUUUCCUAUCGAGACCCUUUUUUGGCAUAUCUUGGCUUCUCCGAGUAGGUGACCUUUCGGGGGGAUGCCCCCAGUAUUCGAGGUUAAUUGCAAAAGUAGCCUUGGAUAAUUGUUGAGUUUCCUUAUGUAGCAUAUGGAUGUUGCCUCGUUAAAAACCUUGCCGGUAAAACCCUUCUAGGGACAAAAUCUGGUCGAAGGAAAAGAGUGCAAUGCAUGCUUGCAAGAGCCCGAGGCCCUCGAGCUUCAGAAUCUUCCAUCAGACGCCUUAGCAGUAGUAUCAUUUCAGCAUUGAUAUGUUCCAAUUGCUUGGAAGUUACUCACCUUUCAUGGUACCGAGUUUGUAGGACCCUUUGCCGAUUACUCCGAGGACGCGAUACGGUCCUUCCUAAUUUUGGCCAAGAUUUCCUUCAUUAGGGUUUCAGGUGUUGAGGGUGACUUUCCUUGGGACCGAGUCCCCGACUCCGAGAUGUCGGAGGUUUGUUCUCCUAUUAUAAUACCUUUCGAUCCUUCUCUUUUGGGCGACCAUUCGGAUCAGCAAGGCUUCUCGCUUUUUGUCCAAUAGUUUGGGGGCCAUAGUCAUGGCCUCGUUGUUCGAGCUCUCAGUGGUGUGUCAGAAUCUUGCACUUGGUGUUACACCCCAUGUUUUCGUACGUAAAAAUAUGCGAUAAGCAAAUUGGUGAAAGCUCGGAAAUAAGAUAUUACAUCCCGCAUUUUUCGUACGUUAAAGUUUUAUCGUAAGUUAAUCGACGUAAGUUCGGGAAUGAGAUUAUUUUAAGAUUUUAAGAAUUUUAUGCUAUUUCAAAUAAGUAAUGAGUAAAUUCAUGAAGGUGAGAAGGUAAACAAAUCAAACAAAAAGAAUCUCGUCAAAAUAUGGCAUUUUGGGAUAAAAUACGGCCCGAGCUAAAAUACCCGAUAUUUAUGGACUAGUACCAUACAAGGUACCUCAUAGCCAUAAUAAUAAAGUGUAUAAGGUGUGUUAAAAAAUGAGUAGUAUUUUAAAUAAUUUGAGAUAAUUAUCAAUUAUGUGGAUAAUUGAUUAAUGGUGAAGAUAAUUGUGGUAUUAAAUGCAUAAGAGCUGUUUUGGGAUUGCCACUUGGCAUAAGUUUAGCCAAGGUGGAAAAGUAUACAAAUGAGUCAUUUAGACCAAAUGCUAUCUUGGUAACACGUGAGGAUGGCUGAUCUCUUUAUUGGAGAAAUGCAAAAACUUUGCAAAGUUAGGCAAAAACAACAUUUCACUCCAUUUUAAAAGAUAUUCCAUAUUCAGGACUAACCCAUAAGAAUGGCAAUCAUUCUUACAUCAAAAGCCCCCUUCAACCAAAAACCAACGUUAGCCAUCUUACAUCUUUCAACCAAAAUUCUUAAAAUCCAGAACAUUAGCAAGCUUAUACAAGACGUUUUCUAACCCAAAAAUCCAACAAGAAAUUUUUUAGAUGCUUAACAACGUAUAAAUUUUGUGGUUCUAAAGGGAUACAGUGCAACCUUUUCCAAGAAUAUUAUACGGAUUUUUUUCCCUACCUCAGGUAUGUUAAGGCCACCUAUUCUUUCUUUUUGACAUGAUCCUAAUUAUACUGAAGAAAUGAACAAAUACACAAUUUCUAUAAAUUACUCUAUUCAUAGAAAUAGUAGGGGUGUCUAUNNNNNNNNNNNNNNNNNNNGAAAAAUUUAUCCGAAAGGAAUAUUGAGAUUAUUAUGUAUUUUUCAUGCAUUUCAAUCAUUUAUACAUGUGCAUUGACCCAUGACCAGAUAGCGUUAUAUACGCGUAUAUAUGUAUGUAUAUGGGAUAUGGGAAAAGGUUACGUCAUUAUAGACACACCACCACCUCAUCAACUAGUAUAUGAUGAUGAUGUUGCCCACAGUGGCAUGAAUAUGAUUCAAACGACGUUAUAUACGCGUAUAUAUGUAUAUAUAUGCAUAUGGGAUAUGAGAAACCUUAUGGAGUUAUAUACGCACCACCACCUAAUCAGCUGGUAUAUGAUGAUGAUUUUACCCACAGUGGCCGAUAUGAUAUGAUGGGAUGCCCUUAAAGGUGGAUGAUGUUAUGAAACAUGUACCUAUACACGACAUGACAUUCAUAUGCAUAUGCAUGACGCUUAUUAAUUGAUGAUUUACAAAGUUAUUCAGACUUACAAGUUGAGUCAUGUACUCUAUAUUACUUCGAUGCCUCUUAUGUAUUUAUUUAUGUGCCUUACAUACUCAGUACAUUAUUCGUACUGACGUCCCUUUUGCCUGGGAUGCUGCGUUUCAUGCUUGUAGGUCCUGAUAGACAGGUCGAGAGCCCUCCAUGUAGGCUAUCAGCUCAGCGGAAGAUGUUGGUACGCUCAAUUUGCUUCGGAGUUGCUUGUUUAGUUAGUAUGAGUUAGACGUAUAUUUUUUGGUAUGGCAGGACUCUGUCUCGACCUUUAUGAUAUUUAUGUAUUCUUAGAGGCUUGUAGACAUAUGGUGUAUGUGAAAGAUGGUACAACCUUGUCGGCCUAUGUUUUGAGUUUAUAAAUAAUUAUGUUGGCCUAUUAGGC
rnacentral:lncRNA from 1 species